rnacentral:rRNA from 1 species
ACGAACGCUGGCGGCAUGCCUAACACAUGCAAGUCGAACGAGACCUUCGGGUCUAGUGGCGCCCGGGUGCGUAACGCGUGGGAACCUGCCCUUAGGUUCGGAAUAACUCCCCGCAAGGGGUGCUAAUACCGGAUAAUGUCUUCGGACCAAAGAUUUAUCGCCUUUGGAUGGGCCCGCGUUGGAUUGGCGAGUUGGUAGGGUAAAAGCCUACCAAGGCGACGAUCCAUAGCUGGUCUGAGAGGAUGAUCAGCCACACUGGGACUGAGACACGGCCCAGACUCCUACGGGAAGCAGCAGUGGGGAAUAUUAGACAAUGGGCGAAAGCCUGAUAAAGCAAUGCCGCGUGAGUGAUGAAGGCCUUAGGGUUGUAAAGCUCUUUUACCCGGGAUGAUAAUGACAGUACCGGGAGAAUAAGCUCCGGCUAACUCCGUG